UACGAGGGGAGCAAGCGUUGUUCGGAUUUACUGGGCGUAAAGGGCGCGUAGGCGGCCACGCCAAGUCACUUGUGAAAUCUCCGGGCUUAACUCGGAACGGCCAAGUGAAACUGUCAUGCUAGAGUGCAGAAGGGGCAAUCGGAAUUCUUGGUGUAGCGGUGAAAUGCGUAGAUAUCAAGAGGAACACCUGAGGUGAAGACGGGUUGCUGGGCUGACACUGACGCUGAGGCGCGAAAGCCAGGGGAGCAAACGGG
rnacentral:rRNA from 1 species